rfam:Triticum aestivum genome assembly, contig: Triticum_aestivum_CS42_TGACv1_scaffold_322263_4BL
CAACUACUCCCUCUGUCCCAAAUUUCUUGUCUUAGAUUUGUGUAGAUACGGAUGUAUCUAAUACUAAAAUGUGACUUGAUACAUCCGUAUCUAGACAAAUCUAAGACAAGAAUUUUGGGACGGAGGGAGUACUUU